rnacentral:rRNA from 1 species
GACGAACGCUGGCGGCGUGCCUAAUACAUGCAAGUAGAACGCUGAAGAGAGGAGCUUGCUCUUCUUGGAUGAGUUGCGAACGGGUGAGUAACGCGUAGGUAACCUGCCUUGUAGCGGGGGAUAACUAUUGGAAACGAUAGCUAAUACCGCAUAACAAUGGAUGACACAUGUCAUUUAUUUGAAAGGGGCAAUUGCUCCACUACAAGAUGGACCUGCGUUGUAUUAGCUAGUAGGUGAGGUAACGGCUCACCUAGGCGACGAUACAUAGCCGACCUGAGAGGGUGAUCGGCCACACUGGGACUGAGACACGGCCCAGACUCCUACGGGAGGCAGCAGUAGGGAAUCUUCGGCAAUGGGGGCAACCCUGACCGAGCAACGCCGCGUGAGUGAAGAAGGUUUUCGGAUCGUAAAGCUCUGUUGUAAGUCAAGAACGAGUGUGAGAGUGGAAAGUUCACA